rnacentral:rRNA from 1 species
AACAGGAUUAGAUACCCUGGUAGUCCACACAGUAAACGAUGAAUACUCGCUGUUUGCGAUAUACAGUAAGCGGCCAAGCGAAAGCGUUAAGUAUUCCACCUGGGGAGUACGCCGGCAACGGUGAAACUCAAAGGAAUUGACGGGGGUCCGCACAAGCGGAGGAACAUGUGGUUUAAUUCGAUGAUACGCGAGGAACCUUACCCGGGCUUGGAUUGCAACUGAAUGAUGUGGAGACAUGUCAGCCGCAAGGCAGUUGUGAAGGUGCUGCAUGGUUGUCGUCAGCUCGUGCCGUGAGGUGUCGGCUUAAGUGCCAUAACGAGCGCAACCCUUAUCGAUAGUUACCAUCAGGUUAUGCUGGGGACUCUGUCGAGACUGCCGUCGUAAGAUGUGAGGAAGGUGGGGAUGACGUCAAAUCAGCACGGCCCUUACGUCCGGGGCUACACACGUGUUACAAUGGGGGGUACAGAAGGCAGCUACACGGCGACGUGAUGCUAAUCCCUAAAGCCUCUCUCAGUUCGGAUUGGAGUCUGCAACCCGACUCCAUGAAGCUGGAUUCGCUAGUAAUCGCGCAUCAGCCACGGCGCGGUGAAUACGUUCCCGGGCCUUGUACACACCGCCCGUCAAGCCAUGAAAGCCGGGGGUACCUGAAGUGCGUAACCGCAAGGAGCGCCCUAGGGUAAAACUGGUGAUUGGGGCUAAGUCGUAACAAGGUAACC